UUUGAUCAUGGCUCAGAUUGAACGCUGGCGGCAGGCCUAACACAUGCAAGUCGAGCGGUAGCACAGAGAGCUUGCUCUCGGGUGACGAGCGGCGGACGGGUGAGUAAUGUCUGGGAAACUGCCUGAUGGAGGGGGAUAACUACUGGAAACGGUAGCUAAUACCGCAUAACGUCGCAAGACCAAAGUGGGGGACCUUCGGGCCUCAUGCCAUCAGAUGUGCCCAGAUGGGAUUAGCUAGUAGGUGGGGUAACGGCUCACCUAGGCGACGAUCCCUAGCUGGUCUGAGAGGAUGACCAGCCACACUGGAACUGAGACACGGUCCAGACUCCUACGGGAGGCAGCAGUGGGGAAUAUUGCACAAUGGGCGCAAGCCUGAUGCAGCCAUGCCGCGUGUGUGAAGAAGGCCUUCGGGUUGUAAAGCACUUUCAGCGGGGAGGAAGGCGGUGAGGUUAAUAACCUCAUCGAUUGACGUUACCCGCAGAAGAAGCACCGGCUAACUCCGUGCCAGCAGCCGCGGUAAUACGGAGGGUGCAAGCGUUAAUCGGAAUUACUGGGCGUAAAGCGCACGCAGGCGGUCUGUCAAGUCGGAUGUGAAAUCCCCGGGCUCAACCUGGGAACUGCAUUCGAAACUGGCAGGCUAGAGUCUUGUAGAGGGGGGUAGAAUUCCAGGUGUAGCGGUGAAAUGCGUAGAGAUCUGGAGGAAUACCGGUGGCGAAGGCGGCCCCCUGGACAAAGACUGACGCUCAGGUGCGAAAGCGUGGGGAGCAAACAGGAUUAGAUACCCUGGUAGUCCACGCCGUAAACGAUGUCGAUUUGGAGGUUGUGCCCUUGAGGCGUGGCUUCCGGAGCUAACGCGUUAAAUCGACCGCCUGGGGAGUACGGCCGCAAGGUUAAAACUCAAAUGAAUUGACGGGGGCCCGCACAAGCGGUGGAGCAUGUGGUUUAAUUCGAUGCAACGCGAAGAACCUUACCUGGUCUUGACAUCCACAGAACUUUCCAGAGAUGGAUUGGUGCCUUCGGGAACUGUGAGACAGGUGCUGCAUGGCUGUCGUCAGCUCGUGUUGUGAAAUGUUGGGUUAAGUCCCGCAACGAGCGCAACCCUUAUCCUUUGUUGCCAGCGGU
rnacentral:rRNA from 1 species